rnacentral:tRNA from 1 species
GGGUCGAUGGCGUAGCUGGUUAUCGCAUCUGUCUAACACUCGUGUUCACAGAAGGUCCUCAGUUCGAACCUGGGUCGACUCA